AAUAGCGGAGGAAAAGAAACCAACCGGGAUUGCCUUAGUAACGGCGAGUGAAGCGGCAAAAGCUCAAAUUUGAAAUCUGGUACCUUCGGUGCCCGAGUUGUAAUUUGGAGAGGGCAACUUUGGGGCCGUUCCUUGUCUAUGUUCCUUGGAACAGGACGUCAUAGAGGGUGAGAAUCCCGUGUGGCGAGGAGUGCGGUUCUUUGUAAAGUGCCUUCGAAGAGUCGAGUUGUUUGGGAAUGCAGCUCUAAGUGGGUGGUAAAUUCCAUCUAAAGCUAAAUAUUGGCGAGAGACCGAUAGCGAACAAGUACAGUGAUGGAAAGAUGAAAAGAACUUUGAAAAGAGAGUGAAAAAGUACGUGAAAUUGUUGAAAGGGAAGGGCAUUUGAUCAGACAUGGUGUUUUGUGCCCUCUGCUCCUUGUGGGUAGGGGAAUCUCGCAUUUCACUGGGCCAGCAUCAGUUUUGGUGGCAGGAUAAAUCCAUAGGAAUGUAGCUUGCCUCGGUAAGUAUUAUAGCCUGUGGGAAUACUGCCAGCUGGGACUGAGGACUGCGACGUAAGUCAAGGAUGCUGGCAUAAUGGUUAUAUGCCGCCCGUCUUGAAACACGGACCA
rnacentral:rRNA from 1 species